GAACUGCUUUUCGCCUUGUGACAUGUCCGGCCUGAGAACCUUAAUGGCAACGGGUGUGUGAUCAAGACUUGCUUUAAAGACAGGCCCAUAUCCGCCCUCACCGAUCUUUUCUGAACCAGCGAAAUAUUUUGUGGCUUCUUGGAUUUCCUCCAUCGUGUACUUUCUGUAUUGAACCUCGGUAUUUGCUAGUGCGUGAAUCGCCUUCUCCUUUUCUUCGGCCUCCACUCUGAACUUCUUCUCUGCAGACUUUCUCUUUUCCGACUCCAGCUCUGCUAUGCGUUGUGCUGUCUGUGCAAGCUCAACUGCGGCCUUGCACUUCAACUUCUCCCUCUCAACCAUGGCCAAUGCAGACUCUUGGGAAUGGUUACCGUCUCCUUGGCCGCCGGCAUCCUAUGACAACAGGUAAGUAUCCAUGAAUACCUAGUGUUUAUUUACAAAUUAGAAUCUCUCCAUUGAGCAUGAUUGCAACUUACAAACCUUAUCAGUAGCCGUCUCAGAUUCUUGACAAACUAGAUUAUACAUCAUUGUGAUUCGCUUCAUCUCGUGUUUUAAUCUUCUGAGCUCGUCCUCUACAUCCUGAAAUGAUAAGAGAUUCUUUGUUGAGCGCGCUACCAUCUCUUUUUUCAUACAAUGACCGAAAAAACUUUUGAACUUACAGCUGUUUGUGAGCAGAUAGAGCUUCUCGAAGAUAAAGACAUCCGGAACUGGUCCAGAUGUUCGUACGACACAUCCGAAGGGAAACUCUGCAUAUCCGAAUGAUCACUCGAAGAAGCCAUGGAGUACUGUGGACUGUCCCUGGUUCGAACUUGAAGAUUCUGG
rnacentral:lncRNA from 1 species